UAGCUUGGGAAUCUGGCUUAUGGAGGGGGAUAACUACGGGAAACUGUAGCUAAUACCGCGUAGAAUCGGAAGAUGAAAGUGCGGGACCGCAAGGCCGCAUGCCAUGAGAUGAGCCCAAGUGGGAUUAGGUAGUUGGUGGGGUAAAGGCCUACCAAGCCUGCGAUCUCUAGCUGGUCUGAGAGGAUGGCCAGCCACACUGGAACUGAGACACGGUCCAG
rnacentral:rRNA from 1 species